rnacentral:rRNA from 1 species
GGAGGACAAGAAACCAACCGGGAUUGCCUCAGUAACGGCGAGUGAAGCGGCAGCAGCUCAAAUUUGAAAUCCGACCCCCCCGGGGGGCCCGAGUUGUAAUUUAGAGAGGGUGCUUCGGGUGCGUCGCCGGUCCAAGUGCCUUGGAACAGGCCGCCGUGGAGGGUGAGAGCCCCGUCCGUGGCCGGCGCUCGCCCCCGUGCGAAGCCCCUUCGACGAGUCGAGUUGUUUGGGAAUGCAGCUCCAAGCGGGUGGUAAAUUCCAUCUAAAGCUAAAUACAGGCCGGAGACCGAUAGCGCACAAGUAGAGUGAUCGAAAGAUGAAAAGCACCUUGAAAAGGGGGUCAAACAGCACGUGAAAUUGCUGAGAGGGAAGCGCUGGCCCCCAGACCUGCCCGCGGGCGACCCCCGGAGGCCCGUGGCGGGAUCGUGGCCCGCGUCCAGGCCAGCACGGGUUCGGGCGGCGGGAGAAAGCGUCCGGGAAUGUAGCUCCCCCCGGGGAGCCUUAUAGCCCGGGCGGUCAUGCCGCCCGCCUGGACCGAGGACCGCGCUUGGGCGAGGGUGCUGGCGUAAUGGGGGUCAGCGGCCCGUCUUGAAACACGGACCAAGGAGUCUAACGUCCCCGCGAGUGUUUGGGCAUCAAACCCCGACGCGGAAUGAAAGUGAACGGAGGUGGGAACCCCGCGAGGGGCGCACCAUCGACCGAUCCAGAUGUCUUCGGAUGGAUUUGAGUACGAGCGCGGCCGUUGGGACCCGAAAGAUGGUGAACUAUGCCUGGGUAGGGUGAAGCCAGAGGAAACUCUGGUGGAGGCUCGCAGCGGUUCUGACGUGCAAAUCGAUCGUCAAACCUGGGCAUAGGGGCGAAAGACUAAUCGAACCAUCUAGUAGCUGGUUCCUGUCGAAGUUUCCCUCAGGAUAGCAGUCGCGCGCGCGGUUUUAUGAGGUAAAGCGAAUGAUUAGAGGCCUUGGGGGCGCAACGCCCUUAACCUAUUCUCAAACUUUAAAUAUGUAAGAAGCCCCUGUUGCUCCGGUGAACGGGGGCGCGCGAACGCGGCGCGGCUAGUGGGCCAUUUUUGGUAAGCAGAACUGGCGAUGCGGGAUGAACCGAACGCGGGGUUAAGGUGCCGGAAUGCACGCUCAUCAGACACCACAAAAGAUGUCAAUUCAUCCGGACAGCCGGACGGUGGCCAUGGAAGCCGGAAUCCGCCAAGGAGUGCGUAACAGCUCACCGGCCGAAUGAAUUGGCUCUGAAAAUGGAUGGCGCUCAAGCGUGCUACCC